rnacentral:tRNA from 1 species
GUUUUAGUGGUGUAUUCAACACAUUAUAUUUUCACUAUAAAACAGGGAAUUUAUUUCCUCUAAAAUU